rnacentral:misc_RNA from 1 species
AAGUCGUAACAAGGUUUCCGUAGUGCGGAAGGAUCAUUAACACGUAUCCAACGUUAAAAACAACCCCCGUGAACUUUCAGCUUGCUCCUGUAGCCCGUGAAAACAGCAAUCCCUGGUAAAUCAUUGUUGACCAGCUUUUGAGUCAGGGACCUCUGCCGAUUGUGAUAUUUUAUAGCUACGGUUUCUGACAACUACAGUCUGAAAGCCGCGCGUGAAAUUCGCACGGCACCAAAAACCGAACAACUGUUAACAAUGGAUAUCUUGGUGCUC